GGUCGGUUAGCUCAGUUGGUUAGAGCGUCGUACUAAUACUACUACAAUUGUAUCAAGUAAUGCGAAGGUCAUGGGUUCGACCCCCAUACUGACCA